UCUGUGCUUGGUUUCUAACCUCAGGCUUAUCCCUGCUAGCAAAACUACGGUUGGUUUUCUUACCAGUGUUGACAGGAUGAAAAUACCUUGGUGCUAAGUGCCACUUCUUUCACAGGAAGAGACUCUUCACAUCUGCAGCAGACAUUGAAGAGACAAACGUUACUUCAGAUAACUUCAGUGACAGAACAGGGCAGAAGAGUGAUGGGUUCAGGAAAGCACGCCAGUUCCUCAGCUGCAGUACUACUAUGCUAUUCAUCUCCAUAAAGAGCUCUUUCGAAAGUAUUAUUAAACAGCAGGAAGGAAUGGUGUAUGACAGCUUCAUUAGUCACUGCAAGCCAAACCUGGCCGCUUUCUGCUGGGGAUUAUUAGCACAUUCCAAAACAUCCUUGGGUUGAUGGCAUCCAAAAUCUUUUUUUUUUCCCUUCAAAUGUAUGGAAUGUAGCCAAAUCUCAGUUUGAAAAUCCUGCUAUCAAGUCCUCUCUAGGCUGGGUUAGGCUGUAUUUGUGAAGGAAACACAGACUCCCUCCUUGGUCAUAAGAGUCCAGAAGCAUUGCAAUGGGUGAUUUGAAAUACACAGACAGAAGAAAUUAUUUUGUAGAAGUGCAGAAUGUGAUGUUCCCAAAAUGGCAAAUGUUCAUCCCACGUUACUACAUCCUCUAGGUACCAGAUACAGAACUUUAAGACCUUUUUGCACGUUUGUGUUGUGUUCACGAAAGGUACAUCCAGAAGGCAAGAUGCUCUGAUUUUAGGGAUGCUUAUGAUCUCACUGAGAUCAGUAAAUGUGGGGUUUGGAGCUAGCAUGGCAUUUCAGGCUCUGUGUUGCUCUGAGAUCAGUUCUAUUUUAAGUGUGAUACUUCUGAAUCUUCCUUAAUAGGACCAUAAGCUACAGGAUAAGUGUGAUAUGCAGAACUGAGCUCUUGUGUAAGUCUGUUGCUUGAUUUAUUGCUCUUCUGAAAUUAUCCCAAGCUGUUUAUAAAGUGAAUAAACUGACUAAAGAAAAGUAGAGUAAACAAAAUCGGUGAAAAUCCGGAUGUGGCAUGAAUGCUUUAGCUAGCUUUGAUUCCAAGAAAGCACUGUCUAAAAUCAAGUUCCUUGAUACUGAAGCUUCACUGAGCGAUGAAGUCCAGGGAAUUGACAGAACUCAUAUUUAAAAACGCUGUAUACAAAGAAGUGUUUCACUGUCUGUGUGUUUCUAAUUUCCUGUAUAUUUGUGAAAAUAAUCUCGUAAUACACAGUUAUUUAUGCUUUUCUUCCCACAUGGAACAAAAUAUUUUACAGAUAAUGCCAUUCAUAAUUAGCAGCAAGCCAGCAAAUGCCUGGUGCUUGAGUGGUGAUGACUUAAUGUACACUUGUGAGCUCAGCCAAACCCCUGGUUUGACUAAACCAACUCAUGGCAAUGAGGUGGCAGAGGAGCAUGCCUCUAUGGGCUUUUGAUAACCCUGACAGUUACUAUCUCUGGGACCCUCCAGCUACCAGUAACAGCUGAGGUCCUUCUAAGUGGAUCACAGGAGGCAAUUCUCUUCCAACCUUUUUGUUUUAUUUUAUGUAUUUGGUGUGAGUCAGUUUUUGGGGCUUUUGAGGGCUCUUCCUUGCAAGCAUUAUCAUGGUGACAGCCUUGAAGCCAAUAU
ensembl:lncRNA